UUUUCUAUUCUACAUCUUAGAAUUAUGUUCUGUUGAAAAUAUGAACAGAUCCAAGACAAAGUAUGUAAUUCACACGGGAGAGGGCAGAGCCCCACAGAGACCUUGAAGGAUUAGUGCAAAUGGCUCUUGCCCUGUGUCCCAGGCAUUCCUCAUGGACGUGUGCACUCAUCUCUGAUUCUUCUCAUUUUCCUAAAGAAACCACAGAAAUAUUCCUUUUACCCUCUGUGUGGCUCGGCUCACAGGUAGCAUGUGUUCCUCUGAGCUGUAUUCUUCUGCCCUAUCUUCCUUUAGUCUCUUCCUGCCUAGACUAUUGUUUAUUGGUGUAUCCUUGUGAGUUAAAACCACAAAUGCCCCUAAUGGAGAAAUUGCCUUCCUUACAUCUAAGAAUGGCUGUCGGUUAGGCUGGAAAAAUAAGACAGGGAUAUACAGGGCCACCUAAGAGAGAAAAACAACGCUGGACUUCUUAAAACUUAACAUAUAUCUGGUGUCAGUAAGAAUACGGAGUUGCUUUUGUUUUUGGUUAAUUUUGAGUGGCCAUUUCUUUAUUUCUAGAAUGUUCAGUGGAAAUCGGUUUCCCUAAGGCCGGAAGUCUAGGCUAGAGGCAAAACCUUUGAAGUUUGUCUCCUUUCUUCCUUUGUACAUCAGAAUAAAUCAAAACAAAACUCUAAUCCCGUUAUUACAUUUGACAACCAUGGAAGGUUUCUACAGUGUGCCAGGAAAAUCAGUUUUUCUCACUUGAGCUUGGAGUUUUUAAGGCUGCUUUAAAUUUUUCCUGCCUGUUUUAAGAUGUACAUACUGGCUAGUAGCAGGUUGUGCAGCGGACCUGAUGAGAGUUAAGUCACUGCCAAAACCUAAGACACUACACACCUGUAGAAGGUACCAGCAGACACUACAUACCUGUAGAAGGUACCAGCAGACACUACACACUGCAGACACUGCACACCACUGACACGCACAAGGUGGACAGGGCACAUGGUGGAUACUGUACACUGUGGAUAGCGCUCACACCUCACACCAGGGAUACUACACACCGUGGAUGUGGACAUCACACAGUGUGGCACCGCAUGUAUCUGGGGCUCAGGUUUCCUUUUUGUUCAUGAACUUUUCAGUUCUGAACAUGACCUUUUGUGUCUACUGUUUAGUCUUCUGUAAUGGGGUGUUUACAGUUGCCUGCCUUUAGGGAGUAACACUCUAUUUCCCCCUUCAUAGUUUUGACUCAAUUUAUGUUAGAAUACUUUUAGCACUGUCUCUUUUCCUUAGACAAAUACAUAGAGAGUAACUGGCUCUGAAAAAUAAAAGGGAAUUUUAUUUUGUUAGACAAUGGGAAGAGAAGGCUGGAAGUGGAAACAUUUGGAGUUCUCCUCUGCUUCCUCAGCCAUUUCUUCACAGUACAGAGAUAGCCACCCUUCAGUCAUGCAUCAAAACAACACCCUGUUCAACAUAGUUUGUUUUAGAGGCAGUACAAAUAACAAAAUCGUGUUACAGGUGAUGACAAAAGUCUACAACAGCCUUAUCACCACUAGCCUUUUCCUUUUAGGGGGAGGUGAGCCAGAUGUUUAAACAAUAUGGCAGGGUAUGUGAAUGCCGCAGGACUUGGAGACCUCGGGAAAGAAAUCAUGUCUGCACUCCUAGUGUUUCACAGUUUCAGACCCCUGACCUAGAAACAGUUUAAACAGAUGUUUAGUUCAAGGGAUUUAUGUCAAUGGUGAAUUCUUUUAUUUAUUUAUUUAUUUAUUUAUUUAAUCUUAUUUUAUUUUUGUCUUUGGAAAUUGCUGCCUUGAAAAACGAUACCCUUUUUUUCUUUUCUUUAACUAGAAAAUGAACCUUUAAUAUUUCAAAGCUUCUAGUUUUGUGCUAAAACUCUUGACACUGAUGCAGGAUUGAAACAGUGGAAUGGCCUCCUCUCUCAUUACUGUUGAGGCAAAUGAUGCAUGUCACCUCUGUCUCUCCUCCCACCUCUGUCUCUCCUCCCAGGUGGUUAAACCCAGACUGGCAACAUUAACAGAGUUUCCUAAAGAAGACAAGACCCUACAAACCCCCAGAGAUCAUGAGCCAGCAUACACUCUGCAUAGCUCUUCCUCUUCAUGCCUGCAGUCCAGGCCUGUUUCCUUCCCUCCAGUUAAGCUUCUUCCUUUAGGUAAUUUCCUCCAACCAGAACCCUGUCCUCACAGCAAAGCCGCCCUUAUGGAAGUGUCGGUUUCAUAUCUGAGAUGUUUUUGUGUGCGUUUGCUCUGCUUUGACUUGCACAAGGAGAAAGAAAGCAGUUUUUUACUGGAGGCGAAACAGCCACCUGUGAAAACUAAUUGCGUAGGUAGAGGUUUGAUGGUAUCUCUGGGAGAGAUCCAGCCGGAAGAAAAGUAAAUGUUCUCAAUCUAUGCGGAAGUCACCUGUGUGCCAAACUGACCCUCUUUAUCAAAGCCAAGACUGAAAUGUCCCAUCAAGCAUGGGGCUCAUAUUUAGGUGGUGAGAUGGAGUGGGGAGCCAGGGGCCGGGGCCAUGGGGAAGGCAGGUAUAGUCUGUGUUCCUGAACAGCCCUGAUCAGUUAAACAAAAGUCAACAUGGUGGACUCUCCACGGCCUCUUUAGGGGCUGAAUAUGAUGUCCGUGGUGAAUAGUUUGAAGCGAUAGUAUGAGAUGGUACCAUUUUGAGUUCCUCAUUUCUCUUCUCUCACCACUCUUUCCCCUUGAAAAUUUCUUUUUCCUUCUCUAGUGCUGUAGAUUUAGAUUUAUUCCUUGAUCUUACCAUUCUAUUAUAGCAAUUGUUUGCAACAAAAAGGGCAGAGCUAGCUUCAGUGCUGAGGCAGGCACAUAGUGCCACCAUCUGUGGAACCCUGUGUCUGGAUGAUUGUCACAUAGUUAGAAAGCAGAUCCAUCAGUGGCAGGCAUACCGCCUCAUUCUGCCACCAGUGCAGUAGACUGAUCUGGCUGUUCGCUUGGCAGGGUCUGAUCUGUCUUGAGAGGUUCUACAUCUUGUUGUCCUAAGUGUGUGAUGGCUAUGGUCUUGGCAUGAGGCGUGCUGGACAAACAUGCCAGCAUGUUUUCUUCAUUUUUCAGCCAGAGAGGGCUGACAGCACAGAUCUGAUCGAGACUCCUCCAUGGCCUCCCUCUAUGGGAAACCAACACUAGAAAGGACAGAUAAUUUUCUAUUAUAUAAAGCACUACAAAGUUUAGAGAGAUUUUUAGGAAGAGUUACAUGAUCUUUAGAGGAGCCCAAUAAAAAAAAUAAAUAAAUCUUUAGAAAGAGACAAAGAAGUUUUCCAAAAGCUACAUAAACUAAAUAAAGAUGUGAAUUAAAAUGACAUUUACAUGAUUCAAAAAAAAAAAAGCAAGCCUUUUGCUUGGAAGACUUUGGGCAUAUUUUUUACUGUUCUUGGUGAUAGUUUGCUAAGUGUUCAAGUGGGGUCUCAGUGCAUUUUACUCAUGCUGAGCUGUCUCAGGAAACUGAGGAUAAGCGAACCAGAGGGCUUUCGCAGAGUCCCUGCGAUCCUCACUGACUGGAAAGAAGCUGGAUCUCUGAAGUACAAGGGACUCCUUACCUCAGUGCCUCUGGCUCCUCCCAACCCAUCCUUCCAUGCUAGUGUCUUGUUGGUUCUUGCCAGAGCCAACAGCUCUCUCCUGCAUCUGUGACCUAGGAAGCCUUCCCCUUCCAGCCACCACCAGAGCCUCUUCAGAAGCCAAUCCCAUAGAAAGCAAACCCCUCUGCAGGCUGUAUUAGAAACCCACUUUUAAAUACAUCCCCAGUCAACCUGAAUAUCUGAUUCUUACCAAUGCAUUUCUUGAGAAAAGGUCCCUCCAUCUUUUCUGAGCCCAUUGGGUCCUUGCUUAUAAGGACAUUUUUAAUCCUGCAGAGCACCCAGUCACUGUCAAGUAUACUGUGCUAUCACUAUGCCUAGGAAUUCAGCGCAUUUGAUAUAUAAUAGAUCCUGAACAUUCGUCAGAUUGCCAAGGAUCUGCAUUUACCAUGCAUUUAUCAUGCAAUUACCAUGCAUUUCUAAACCUAUAGGUAGCCUUUGAGAAUGCAAUGUCCUUCUCAAGCAUCAGUCUCUGUCUAAGAACUAUCGUUUAUUUAGUCCUUUUCAGAGAGAGAGAGAGAGAGAGAGAGAGAGAGAGAACACACUUGACAUGAAACAUGCAAGCGUGUGUCUGUGAAUAUGGAGGCCAGAGCUCUCUCUACCUUUUUUUAAUUUUUAUUUAUUUAUUUAUUUGGAGCCAGGGCCUUUUCACCUAACUGGAUGUCACCAACUGGAGCAGACUGGCUGGCUCCCGUACUUUUUACAGGGCCUCUUAUCUUUGCAUCCAUCCCUAACUGCCUGUGCAUGGUGCUGGGGAUCAGAGCUCAAGGAGUCAUGGAUAUGAAAAUGCUUUGUUGACUGAUACAUCUCUUCAGUCUUCCCUCCUCAUUUUAUUUUUAAACAAAGAAUAAUGUGAAUUGAAAUAAAACAUGGAGGAUGUCAUUGCUUCUGGCUUUCUAUGUGGCAGUGAGUGGGGAGGGAACCAAAUGCUCUCUGAGAGUGAGGUGGUCAGGGUUUCUACUCCUAAGAGAGUCUCCACAGUCAUGUGUGCUGAGUCACAGCUUUUGGAAAGUCUCUGUGUUUUGAUGGAUAACCCCUUUCUCUCUGACAUGAUUCUCAUUAAUUGUUUAUAGGCUGUAGGGUGUGGAGUAGGGAGAUACUGAUCUACUAUGUAGACCUCCAAAUGAAGGCAUUCUCCAAAGAAGGGUUAGUGACUUGAGCAGUGGAUUCUGUGUAUUAGGUGGAGAUCUCAGUUUCAAAUCCAGUGUGUGUGUGUACAAGCACACUCAUGCACAUGUGUGCAUGUAUGUGGCAAUGUGUGUGCUUACUUUAUUUUUAUAAUGUUUUCACAUAACAAGCUUUCAAAGAGAAGGACACCCUCACUGGCCUGAUCCAUGAAGACAAAGUAGAGAACAUGCCUCCUAGUUCACAAAUAAGAACGCAGUAGAAAAGCAAACAGUUCAGAUCCUGCGACCUUUUCCCCCAGUAGUUUCCCCAGUUCAUGUUGAACCUCCAGCAAAGUCCUAUUUGUAUUUGUUUCUGUUGUAAGAUGUCCAGGAGAAACUGAAAAAGCAGGCUGCUGGCAACAGCAACACAGGAUAACAAUCGGAAGGCAGCAAGGUACAUCCUCUGCCUUCGCUCAAGAAGUGUAUGAGUUCCUUUAUGCCCUCUUUUUGCUCUGUGACAGUAGUCCUGGCCAUGUGCAGGAGUGCUCUCAGAUACUUAGACCACACAAUCCUGCCUACCUGCAACAUUCCAUAACUGGAAGGGCUGAGUUUUCAUCCUAACCCUGAGAACAUUGCUCCUGCACUUGUAAGCACCCAGUGUCAAACAGCCUGUUGUUUAAAUUGCAUGGUAGAAUAUGUUUCCGGUUAGAGCAUUUAUGAGAUUGCAGUAGACGCGAAUGGGUGUUCACAGUCAUGGUACCCUUGCUCCCAUUGAACUCACAUCUUAAGUGAGCCAUCUAAGAGUUCUCUUACAUUUACUGUGUCCAUAAAAGAGCACUCAGGAUGCUUGACAACAACAAUAGCUACAGCCUCUGGAAACAUAAAUGAUGUGCGGGGGUGGGGAGAAAGUCUCCUCUGUUCAGACAGUUUAGUAAAUUGCAUUAUUUAAGCAAAACCUAAUUAUGGGAGAGGCUGAUAUAAUGGUCUAAGAAAACCUCGUGGUUUUCUUAGGAUGACAUCUUUACCACUGUAAUGAGUCACUCUGCCCAUUUGUGUUCAAUUCAAAGGACAACAAACUAUAGCAGGUUUGUUGUUUACCUUAUCCCUGGAAUUAGCUGUUAUUAGAGGGUUCCUGAAGUUUUUCUUCCUUGUUCAUUCUAUACCAUUGAACUAGGCAGUAGGGAUGCUGGUGCUUGCUGAUGCUGGGAAUUCAGUCUGAUACCCAGCUUGUAGACUGUCCCUCUGCAGCUGUGCAGCAGCUGGAGCAAGGCCCAGCUGUACUGUGUUCUAGAGUGCCACUCACUUUUGUAUGUGCAUUCUCUUAUUUAAUAUUCAUAACAACUUCAUACCUGUCCCCAUUUUAAAAGUGAUGGACCCCUGUUAAACACUUUCCAAAGGCCAAACAAUUUGCAGGUGUCAAAUUUGGACAAAGAACCAGAGCAAUCUGACUUUAGAGCUGUUGCUUCCAAAUCAUUAGUUAAUACUCCUUAGUCUAUAAAGCGAAGAACCGUUACUCAUGUGGGUCCUUCCUCCAGGAUCUUCUUCCACACCAAGGCAGCUUGACUUUCAACUGCACCCUGUUCAGGGAGGGUAGAGCAUAGUCUCAUCAGAAGUGCAGGAACAGCAAAGCUCAUCCAGAUAGAGCCAUGGAAACUCAGUUCCUGGAGGCAGGGUUUGGGAUGGCUUGAGGAUGCUGCAGCAGGCAGGUUUUACAAACUGCCUCCGGAAGUGGUGCCAUGUUGGAGCACUCCAGGCUCCCUCCUCUCAUCUGCUUGGCCUUGCCCCUUAGGACCAUCUUAAGAACUUAUGGUGAUUAAGUACCUGUAAUUCUUAUCAUUCUGUAACUGCCCAACAAGCUAGUGUUUCUGAACAUCCUUACCAUCUGAUGCAUUCACUUUUCUUCUGGUAGUUAGUGGUCUAGAGGCAGAAAUAUGAGUAGUAUAUUUCAGCUUUUCUUCUUUCUACGUCAGUUCUUGCCACCAAAUUUUCUUCUAUCACUUUUGCAUAUAUGUUUUCAUCACUGUGUGCCACAAUGAAAAUUAUUGUAUAGACUGAAGGUAACAAAUUUUAUGUUUUUAAAGGGAGAAAACUUUGUUAUCUAGUGAAAAUGUCUUAGGAAACAAUUUACGCCUAAAUGUUCAGACUGAGUGAGAAAUGAUUCAUAAUUUUUUUUCUUUUGACUACACUCUCCCACCUUGAAAGUAUAUUUUGGGGUGGAAUGAAAGCUCAAAAUUGAGUUUUUUUUUAAGGAAAAAAAAUAAAAUUAAGAAGUACUUUGCUUCCAAAUCCAGCUGUGCUGGAGUUUAAAUGAGUGCUUGUGUCAAUUUUAUAUGUGAAUAUUGUAAGGGUAUGACCUAUGGGGAAAGGAGUCGAGAGUGAACUGUUUUGGGAAAAUGUUUUUUUUGCACAAGGUGUUUGCUUUUUACCUUUACAGCAGCCUGCACAGGCAGGUACUGUUGUUACCUUCAGCUUAUGGAAGAAGUAACAGGCCUCCUGGCCACAGAAGUCAUGUGUACUGAACCUAAGCUAGGCACUUGGAAUCUAGAAUGUAAGUAUUUUUAUACAACACCUUAAUAUAACUAGGUAGGAAAAAAUAAGUUGUUCCUGUAAUCCGAGGCUUGUUUUAGAGAAAGUUGAGUUAACUGUUUUAUAAAGUCACUCUGAAUGUACUUUGACCAUCAUUCAUAUAUAUGAUCCCCAGAACCAGGUAGGUGUUCCUCAGCACAUAGUAGGACUGCCCAGUGAGCUAGACUGUUUACAAAAAAUUUAUAACAACUGUGUGAAAGUCUAAAACUUUCUACAUUCCCAACUGUCCCAUAGUGAUAAAAGUUUACCUUGAUUUUUGUUAUCUUUUAAAAGGCUAUUUAAGGGGGCUAAGCUGUCACCACUUAGUAAGCACUUUGUAUAAAUCAAACCAUGUGUAACUAUAAACAUUAGUGACCUCAUAUAUGAUGCUGAGCAGUCCCGUGCCUAGCCAUCAGUAUGCCCAGGACCUUUAUUUUAUACUUAGUUAAUAUGUCACUGAUCACACUUCUUUUUAAUGAGGACUGGGAAGCAAGGUGACGUCAGAUGCUCAAUGUCACUAGUAUAUAUUACAAUAGAGAAUUGAAGUCUAUGAGAUUGGUCUUUCUUUAUUAAAGACAUACCAUCAAUUUGCAGGAGACAAAAUGCUCAGCAAAGUUCACACUUCCUCUAAUUUCUGAACAAAAAGUUUUCAAGUUUUGGCUACUCAGAUUCUGCUAAGUUUAGUUUGGAAUUUGGAGGCAUUGUUAAUACUUUCUUUUAUAAACGAAUGCUUUGAGGCCCACCACUUAAAUAAGUUUUGUCUAAAGUACACUAAAGAGUAAAAAAAAAAAAAA